rnacentral:sRNA from 1 species
AGCUACAUAGUACGGUGGCAGAAGUGGAAACACCUGCAAUGUCUUUGGGCAUAGGACACCUAAGCUAGGUAGUUUU